rnacentral:pre_miRNA from 1 species
CCUGAUUUCCGUGCCCAACGUUUAACCGUCCGUCUUAUUUAAAAAAAUUAUGAAAAAAAAAAUAAAAAGACAAGUCACGCAUAAAAUAUUAAUCAUGUUUUAUCAUCUAACAACAAUAAAAAUACGAAUUAUAAAAAAAUUUCAUAUAAGACGGACAGUCAAAGUUGGACACGUAAACCCAGGGUUUGUCUUUUU